rnacentral:lncRNA from 1 species
UCAGAGGCGAGUGGUGACGUAAUCGCAGCCGGUACAGUUUGCACACCCUAGCAACCGUUGUUAAGGACGGAACACGGGGCGUCACGGGCGAGUGAUGACGUCACAACAGAGAAAAGUACUUAAACAGCAGCAGCUCUUCACUCUGUUAAUUCACAGUUUCUCGGUUACGGAAUGCAGGGGUCCGAGCAGACCUCCAGGAAAAGCCGUCCCAGUUUUGAUUUGAGGGAUCCUGGGAAUUUUGAAGCCCGUCUUAGGGCAAUGAUAGCAGCACAGGAUAGCGGCGAACAGGAGAGACAGAGGAUCCAGAGAAAAGCAGAGCUGGCCAGGAAUUUGAAGACAGGGACAUAUAGCGAAAAGACCCAGAGACUCAGACAGGCCAUAGAGGCAGCCGGUUAUAAACACCGGAAGACUAUACAAGAAUAUCAGCCUAACAAAAGAUACAAUUACGCUAAGCAGCUCAAAGAGCUGAGGCAGGCCGUUGAGGCAGACAAGAAAAGAGCAGAGAUGAACAAGUUGAAUCUUGAAGAGAUUAAACGACGUUUAGAGAUGGGAGAAGCAGGCAGGAAAAAGGCUAAGAAGAGAAAGAGAGAGGAGGAUAGUGAGCAGAUACAGAAAAAGAAAAAGAGAGAAGACAAAAGAGAAGAGUGUGAUCCAGUCCCAUUCACCAGCAGAGCCACUUCUGUUUUAACAGAUAGACCAGGAGGUCCAGGAGAACGACUUAGUUCCAGCAGUUCAGCUUCUGAUAUCUCCUUAUUAGAUGAUCAACUUUACGAGCUGCUGGGUUUGGGACCAGUUGAGACAGGCAGGAAAAGUGUGCAGCUGGGUUGUGAACCACUUGAGAGUGAAAAAAGGAUAGAGACAGGCAGGGAAAAGGCUGAGGAGAGUAAGAGAAAGGAGUACUGUGAGGAGAGAAAGAGAGUAGAAGAAAGAGACAUUGGUGCUGUACCAUCCACUAGCAGAUCCAGUCCCAAACGGACAAUAAUCAAGGGACUGAUAAUGAUGAAAAUGGCGAAGGACGUUCAGUUCUAUCACAGUUACUGCAAGAAAACACCUGAAGCCUUGCCAGUAGCUGGUCCAACUAGAAGAAAGCCGAGAUAUAAAGGGCGCGUUUAAACCGUAUUUUACGGUAUUCGCGUGUGCAGCGCACUCGGAGAAUAUUUAGAUAAAAAAAAACUUUCAGUAGUUCAGCUUGUGGGGUUCAUGUCCCCAUGGGUGUGGUAGUGGGCAUAGACAUCUUAUACUUAGACGCCGCACCGCCCCGUCUAUUUGAGGUGACGUCAGUGUUGCCAACUCACAGUAAGGAAAGUAGCUGCUGGCUGUCCUAAAAGUCCCUAGAAGUCGCUAAAUGACGUCAUUACCUAAUUUGCAUAAUACAUGUUUUUGAAGCUGUAAAGGAUUAAGGUUGUGGGAGAGAAAAAAAGUGAGUAAAAAACACCAUAAAUAUGUUAGAAAUGUUACAAAUGAACAACAAAAAAAAAACCUUUUUAAAUAGGACGUCACUUUUGUUUACAAUAACUUCAUUUUUACAUGAAUUACAUAAAUUAGUUUUUUGCCAUGUUCUUAAGGAGGACAGGAACUGAAGAGCGCGUGUUUAUCUCAGAGUCGCCAAAAGUCUCCAAUAACACCACAAAAACUCGCUAGAUUUGUCGCUAGUCGCUUUUUUUUUUUACCAAAAAAGUCGCUAGAGGGUAUGAAAAGUCACUAAAUUCAUAGUUUGUCUAUAUAACAAGCACUUAGAAACUCUGUAAUGAUAAUAAUAAAUGUGUAAUAUAAAUUAUAGUUAUAUCUAUA